UAACUGUCUGAGGAAGGAUUUUAACCCUGGUCUUCUUGAUGCCCAAUCCAGUGUUCUAUCUGCUAUGCCAUGCCACCUCUCAUUUUCAAGAUUUCAUGAACUCCUAGAUGGAAGAGAAGUAGACUGCUCCUAGAAUAAAAUGCCUCCAAGGAAAAUGGAAGAAGACUCAUAAUUAGGAAUUCUUUCAAUGGGCACAAAAACAGUUGAUGGGGAUGGUGCACUGAAGAAAGUCUGAGUGUUUGAGGAAGGAGACCAGCUACUGAGAAGGCAGUCCAACCUAAGGGAGGCAUCCUGGUAUGGUAAGAGGAGCAGUGCACUUGGAAUCAGAAUUCAGGUCUUGGUUCUGAUACUUGCAGCUGUGUGACUUUGGCCUCUGAAUCAAGGACUGUGGAUUCCCACCCAUCUACCUGCAACCAUCUACCUAGAGAAGGGCUUAUGAGGACCACAUCCAAAAAGAGCAUCUUGAAGAUAAUAAAAGCUUUGGGGCUAACAUCUGCUGCAGAAGAUGAAGACAUAGAGAAAGUCUAGGAAGAAGUUGACAAGAUUCUUUAAACCAAUUCUACAUCUAUUUUGAUGCUCAGGGACUUCAGUAGGGUCACAGUAAAAAGUGUUGAAAACUAUGGUUUACAUUAAUAAAUGAAAGGGUCCAAAGCCUUGUAAAUCACCCAGAAGCUGCAUGCUUAGGCAUGGCAAGCCAUGAACAUUACAGAAAAUGACAUUUAUAUCUUAAUGGAUAGGGAGCCACUAGUUCCUGAUGUGAGAGUCCUAUCAGAACCUCAUGUCUGUGUACAGUUAGCCAAGUGACUACUAGUAAAAACCAAGGUGAAAUUCAAGUUAGGGAUGUUAGGCCCUAAUGUGCUAUACAAGAAGCAGAAAUGACACUUGAGAAGAUGAAGCCAGGAAAAGCUACUGGAUCCAAUCAAGAAUAAAAUAUCUUAGAGAGGGUGGGAUGCCAAAAGAAUGGAAAAUUUCAUGGACAGUAUGACCACCCCCCAAAAGGCAACUGAGAGGAAAUCAGUAACUAACAGCCCAUAUGCCUACUUCUGUGUCUUUAUAAAAUCUUUAUGAGAAUGAUUUAGGGAUAUACUUGAUGAAAAUAUUGAGAUAGGAGCAGGCAGACUUUCUCAAAUGAUUUCCUAUAGCAUAUUGCAUUAUUACAGCCAAACAAUUGACUGAAAGGUACAGAGAACACAAGAUUCACAUUUAUUUAUUGUUUAUUGAUUACUGAUUACUAAAAAGAAUUUGACUUUGUCAUAAGAGAGGCUUUUAAGGUCUUCUCCAAGAAGGAGUUUCUCAUAUACAUGUUAAGAUCAUAUGUGUUGGGGUUGUUUUUUUUUUUUUGAUGAAUGAAGCCAGAGUUAAUUCUGUUCUAUGAUUCCUUGAUUUUCAAUGAUAAGACACAAAAUAAGAGGUGACGAAGUAGUAGUUAGAGCUGACUUUGGAAUAAGAGAGACCUAAUUUCAAAUUCAGAUCUUGAUACAUACUGGCUGUGUGGCCUUGGGCAAGUCUAUUACCUGACGUGGCUCUAGGCAACUGUCUAAUACUCUAAACUGAAAAACAAUUGCUAAUCACAUUCAUAGAGGGACUUCCUCACCAGGCAUUCCCUAUAAUAAAAUCAUAGAUACAUCCUCCCAUCUCCCCACCUCCCCCCAAAAGUGCAAAACCAGCUUGCUUUAUGGUUUGUAAAAGGUUUGCUCCUAUCAUGGAGAAUGCCUGAUACAGGGUCCAAAUGGAAGAGGGGCUGCCUAUAGAUGGGGCAGUCUUCCAGAUGCUCCUGUUUGUGGAUGAUCUUGUGCCAAGGACGUUACUAGAAUACCCUUAAUGAGACCUGAGAACAAAUUAACCAACAGUCCAUAGAGGAAGAACUUAAUGGAUGAAAAAUGCCUGUUGUACAGGGUAUUACAGGCAGUUAGAAGAACAAUACAUUUGGUUAAUGUCAAUGCCUAGUCUGAGGCAGGCUCUCCAGAUGGAAAAUGACUUGGGUCCAGAAUGAAACAGGGGGGAAGUGAGCAGGCUGGAUUGAAGCUAUGAGAUUAUGUAGGGCUUCUAAAUAUCCUAAGAUGCUUCCCAAUUGUAACAUCCACUUAUUAAUUUUUCUCUUUUCUUUCUUUUUCUUUCU